UCUUUCCCUCCCCUCUCCUGUCAUUUUUUUCGCUAUGCGCACACCCCGCAUCUCUGUUUCUAAUUCUAAUAUCAAGCGAAAUGCCAACGGCUCGAUUCAUGCCUAGAUGAAUGGGCCGUCCGUUGCACCUCCUUUUUUACUAUACUACUACGUAAGCUGCUCGUAAUGACACUCUUAUCACGUGGUUGAAUAUAAAUGAAUGCACAAAAGAUAUUAAGCAAAAUUCCAUGGCUCCAAGACUCACGCUGGCAAAUGAACUGGUGGACCACAUCUCCAAUCGUGCGUAAUGUUUAAUGCUCCAUCCAAAAAAAGAUGGGUGCAACACGAGGAUUCAGUGCUUUAGUGGUAGACUAAUCGCGCCCAUCCCAUGCCCCGCUACAAGUGCAUGUGCCACUUCAGCUUCCCUCCCCCCUCCGAUCAUUUGUCUCACUGUACACGCACACCUCACCUCUGUUUCUAGUUUUAAUAUCAAGCAAAAUGUCUCGGUGCCUUGACUCACGCCCAGAUGUACGGAUUGCCCGCCGCACCUAUGUUUUCAUCGUUCUAC
rnacentral:lncRNA from 1 species